GACGAACGCUGGCGGCGUGCCUAAUACAUGCAAGUCGAGCGCGGGAAGCAGACAGAAGCCUUCGGGCGGAUGUUUGUGGAACGAGCGGCGGAUGGGUGAGUAACACGUGGGCAACCUGCCUGUAAGCUCGGGAUAACUAACGGAAACGUUAGCUAAUACCGGAUGAAGCUGCAUACCGCAUGGUAUGUAGAUGAAAGACGGCAUUUGCUGUCACUUACAGAUGGGCCCGCGGCGCAUUAGCUAGUUGGUGGGGUAACGGCUCACCAAAGCGACGAUGCGUAGCCGACCUGAGAGGGUGAUCGGCCACACUGGGACUGAGACACGGCCCAGACUCCUACGGGAGGCAGCAGUAGGGAAUAUUCCGCAAUGGACGCAAGUCUGACGGAGCGACGCCGCGUGAGUGAUGAAGGUCUUCGGAUCGUAAAACUCUGUUGUUAGGGAAGAACAAGUAUCGGAGUAAUAUGCCGGUACCUUGACGGUACCUAACCAGAAAGCCCCGGCUAACUACGUGCCAGCAGCCGCGGUAAUACGUAGGGGGCAAGCGUUGUCCGGAAUUAUUGGGCGUAAAGGGCGCGCAGGCGGUUAUCUAAGUCUGAUGUGAAAUCUUGUGGCUUAACCACAAGCGGUCAUUGGAAACUGGAUAACUUGAGUGCAGAAGAGGAGAGUGGAAUUCCACGUGUAGCGGUGAAAUGCGUAGAGAUGUGGAGGAACACCAGUGGCGAAGGCGGCUCUCUGGUCUGUAACUGACGCUGAGGCGCGAAAGCGUGGGGAGCGAACAGGAUUAGAUACCCUGGUAGUCCACGCCGUAAACGAUGAGUGCUAGGUGUUAGGGGGUUUCCGCCCCUUAGUGCUGGAGUUAACGCAUUAAGCACUCCGCCUGGGGAGUACGGCCGCAAGGCUGAAACUCAAAAGAAUUGACGGGGGCCCGCACAGCGGUGGAGCAUGUGGUUUAAUUCGAAGCUACGCGAAAACCUUACCAGGUCUUGACAUCCGGUGACGCUCUAAAAUAANCUUUCCUUCGGGANNACGUGACAGUGGUGCAUGCUGUCUCA
rnacentral:rRNA from 1 species